rnacentral:tRNA from 1 species
CGGGGCGUGGCCCAGCCGGGUAGAGUGCUACGUUCGAGACGCAGAAGCCGGAGGUUCGAAUCCUCUCGCCACGACCA